UCAGACCUAUUUUCUGCGUGUUCCUUUGACACAGCCUAAAAAAAAAAUAGAUUUCUUAAAUGAAAAGCAGUCUGAUUCUGCUGAUUCUGGGAGAGGCAAAACCCAGCAGGGAUUAUACAAGAACAGCCCAAGUGUGGAUUUCUCCAGGUCAUGCAGCACAGCUAAACUUUUCCUCACAGCCAAGAUGUGGAAUAUGCUUUAAUCUCAUUUACUGGAUUGCUUCGCCUGAGUGUGCUAAGGGGCUUUGGCUCUGAAUUGCGCUUUCCUCAUGCCCCCCACCCCUUUCCUUCAUCAUCACCACACGCACCCCCAAGGUGGGUAGUUUAUGCCUAAUUCUUCGCUUUCCCACCGCUUUUCUCCUUCGCAGGGGUUGAAGCCGCCAUCUCUCGGUCUCCUCACGGCAUGGAAAAUCCCCAAAAGUGCUUAGGGGAAAAAAAAAAAAAAAAAAAA